rnacentral:tRNA from 1 species
UGCGGGAUGGAGCAGUCUGGUAGCUCGUCGGGCUCAUAACCCGAAGGUCGUUGGUUCAAAUCCAGC